GAUCUUGGUGGUAGUAGCAAAUAAUCGAAUGAGAUCUUGGAGGACUGAAGUGGAGAAGGGUUUCGUGUGAACAGUGGUUGAUCACGAGUUAGUCGGUCCUAAGCUUUAUGCGAAAGCUGUUUAAUUUAUGUUACACA
rnacentral:rRNA from 1 species